AACGAACGCUGGCGGCAGGCCUAACACAUGCAAGUCGAACGCACCGCAAGGUGAGUGGCGCACGGGUGAGUAACACGUGGGAAUGUAUCCUUUGGUUCGGAAUAACGUCUGGAAACGGACGCUAAUACCGGAUGAGCCCUUAGGGGGAAAGAUUUAUCGCCGAAGGAGCAGCCCGCGUCUGAUUAGGUAGUUGGUGGGGUAAAGGCCUACCAAGCCGACGAUCAGUAGCUGGUCUGAGAGGAUGAUCAGCCACACUGGGACUGAGGCACGGCCCAGACUCCUACGGGAGGCAGCAGUGGGGAAUAUUGGACGAUGGGCGCAAGCCUGAUCCAGCCAUGCCGCGUGAGUGAUGAGGGCCUUCGGGUUGUAAAGCUCUUUCGCACACGACGAUGAUGACGGUAGUGUGAGAAGAAGCCCCGGCUAACUUCGUGCCAGCAGCCGCAGUAACAC
rnacentral:rRNA from 1 species